rnacentral:rRNA from 1 species
CCCUUCGACGUCUGGGGCCGCACGCGCGCUACACUGAUGCAUUCAACGAGCCUAUCCUUGACCGACAGGUCCGGGUAAUCUUUGAAUCUGCAUCGUGACGGGGAUAGAUUAUUGCAAUUAUUAAUCUUCAACGAGGAAUGCCUAGUAGGCGCAAGUCAUCAGCUUGCGUCGAUUACGUCCCUGCCCUUUGUACACACCGCCCGUCGCUCCUACCGAUUGGGUGUGCUGGUGAAAUGUUCGGAUCGGCCGUUUGUCGCGGUUUCCGCGUCAUGUGGCUGAGAAGUUCAUUAAACCCUCCCACCUAGAGGAAGGAGAAGUCGUAACA